rnacentral:rRNA from 1 species
UACAGAGGCCCCAAGCGUUACUGAGAAUCACUGGGUUUAAAGGGUGCGUAGGUGGCGCGUUAAGUCCGUUGUGAAAUCCCUUGGCUCAACCAAGGAAAUGCUUCGGAUACUGGCGUGCUUGAGGCUAGUAGGGGUCACUGGAACUGACGGUGGAGCGGUGAAAUGCGUAGAUAUCGUCAGGAACGCCGAUGGUGAAGACAGGUGACUGGGCUAGUUCUGACACUGAGGCACGAAAGCGUGGGGAGCAAACAGG